CCCUUAGAUGUUCGGGGCCGCACGCACGCUACACUGAAGGAAUCAGCACGUCUUUCUCCUUGUCCGAAAGGACUGGGUAACCCGCUGAACCUCCUUCGUGCUAGGGAUUGGGGCUUGUAAUUCUUCCCCAUGAACGAGGAAUUCCCAGUAAGCGCGAGUCAUAAGCUCGCGUUGAUUACGUCCCUGCCCUUUGUACACACCGCCCGUCGCUACUACCGAUUGGAUGGUUUAGUGAGAUCCUCGGAUUGGUCCCGGAGCGGCCUCUGGUCGUGCCGGAGUGCCGAAAAGAAUGUCGAACUUGAUCAUCUAGAGGAAGUAAAAGUCGUAACA
rnacentral:rRNA from 1 species